AUGGUCAUACCAUAUUGAAAACACCGGUUCUCUCUCUCGUCCAAUCAUAGAAGUUAAGCAAUGUAAGGCUUGGUCAGUAUUUGGGAGGGUGACCACCUGGGAACAACCGGAUGCUGUAGACC